rnacentral:rRNA from 1 species
GACGAACGCUGGCGGCGUGCCUAAUACAUGCAAGUUGAGCGCUGAAGGUUGGUACUUGUACCGACUGGAUGAGCAGCGAACGGGUGAGUAACGCGUGGGGAAUCUGCCUUUGAGCGGGGGACAACAUUUGGAAACGAAUGCUAAUACCGCAUAAAAACUUUAAACACAAGUUUUAAGUUUGAAAGAUGCAAUUGCAUCACUCAAAGAUGAUCCCGCGUUGUAUUAGCUAGUUGGUGAGGUAAAGGCUCACCAAGGCGAUGAUGCAUAGCCGACCUGAGAGGGUGAUCGGCCACAUUGGGACUGAGACACGGCCCAAACUCCUACGGGAGGCAGCAGUAGGGAAUCUUCGGCAAUGGACGAAAGUCUGACCGAGCAGCGCCGCGUGAGUGAAGAAGGUUUUCGGAUCGUAAAACUCUGUUGGUAGAGAAGAACGUUGGUGAGAGUGGAAAGCUCAUCAAGUGACGGUAACUACCCAGAAAGGGACGGCUAACUACGUG